GCUUACUCCAGGCUCAAUUGAUCCCCCUACCUCAGCUUCCCAAGUAGCUGGGACCACAGGUGGGCGCUACCAUGCCCAGCUAAUUUUUUGUUGAGUUGGGGUUUCACCGUAUGGCCCAUGCUGGUGUCGAACUGCUGGGCUGAAGUUACCCACCUGCCUCACCCUCCCAAAGUGCUGAGAUUGCAGGCAUGAGCCACGGUGCCUGGCCAACAGUCCCUUUUUUGAGGCAGUUAAGUUCAGAGGGUCAGUGAGCAGUGCAUGACUUACAGAUGUGCAGUUUUAACAUAUUAUCUGUCCACCAACAUUUAAACUGAAAAAUAACUGGAAGAUUUGUGAGAUGUUUAGAACUUUUUGGUUGUUAUUGGAGUUUGGCUUCUUCACAGAAAUAAGCUAAGAACAACAUUUCUUCAAGGAGAGUCAUUUUAUUAUGAAUCAUUGUGCAAAGAACAUAAACUAAAUUGUAAGCUCUUCUAGGGCAACACCCAAAUAUCCUAAUUUUGAAUUCUGUACUUCAAAGUGAUUAUAAAGGAAUAAGACUUUUUAUAAAACAAACGUAUCAUAUAGCUCAUAUAUGCAAAGGAGUUUUAUCCUUUCAAAUAAGUCCCUGUAUCGCUUAAAACAUUUUUGGAAGUUCUAUCUAAAAUUUUGUUUCAUGUGAGGCAGGUGUCAGCACCGAAAAGGUACUAGGUCCACUUCACACUAUUCCACCUGGUUAGACCAUACUCAUGAUGGCCAGUCAGUUAUGGGACCGUAAACAAAAUGAUACUGGACUAGCUUAGAACAAGUUCAACUUGUCCUGAAUGAUGAAGGGACUUGAAAUUCAAAGAAGAGUUGACAGAACUGAGGCUACAAUCUGGAGACUAGAGGAUUCCUAGGGGCAUGAUCACUGCCUUCAAGUUUCUGAAUGGCCAUCUUUUGGAAGGGCCAUCUUACUUGCAUGGUUUGGCCUUGGGGGAAUAGACCUAGGAUGAAUGAGUGGAAGUCUCAAAGAAAACAGAAUUUUGCUCAAGAUCAAGAAGAAUUUCCUAUCAGCUGGUACUAUCAAAACUGGAGUGGGUUGUCCCAGGAUGCAUGAACUCCCUGUCACAAGAGCUGUCCAUUGAGUGGCCACAUGGCCUCUUGGAGAAGUCAUAGAGAACAGACAAUGAAUGGGUGGUUAGAGUGAUACAGUUAACACUAUUGAGACCCCUUCCAAGCCUUGGCAUGUUAAUUAUCCCAGUAAUCUGAACCUUUCUCUUUAAUCCUGAAGUCUUAGGUAGAAAAUCUUUCCUGUGCUUCUUACAAGGCAGCAAAUGUAAUCUGACUGAGUCAUGACUCAGUCUGAGGGACUUCAUGACUAAGGAACAUCUUAUAAAGGGACAUCAGUUUCUGUACUCUGACACUAAAUGGCCUCAAGUUGAUGGACUUCUUGUGACUCCUUUUUGCAGUUUUCAGAGCCCGCCCUUUUAUAUUUUUGAGACAGGGUCUCCUCUGUCACCCAGGCUGGAGUGCAGUGGUGCAGUCACAGCUCAUUGCAGCCUUGAUAUAUGUCCCAGGCUCAAGUGAUCAUCCAACUUCAGCCUCCAGAGUAGCUGGGACUACAGGCACACACCAGCACACCCUGUUAAUUUUUUUUUUGUUAUUUGUAGAGACAGGAUCUCCCUAUGUUGCUCAGGCUGGUCUUGAACUCCUGGGCUCAAGCAGUCCUCUGGCCUUGGCCUCAAAGUGUUGUGUGAGGCACUUCACCUGGCCCCUUUCUUUUAAUUGGGCUCUCUCUUCUCACACCCUAAUGCCACUUGUUGCAGUGGUGCACCUGUCUUGAAUCUUGUCUACCUUUUCCUCUAAUUUGAUGCUGCCUUUUGGCAAUGAGCUGGAAGUUCCAGAUAUCCAGAAUUGGGUCUUACUGAGUUAGGGCUCAGAAUGUGCUCUGAUUGAUUAGACUGCUUGGGCCUUUUGAUGCCUACUGUGGCUGCAGAUGUGCCUCUUUUGCUUAUUUCCCUCUUGGUUCUAAGUGGCAGUGAGUGGAGGACUGUGGAUGAGUGACCCCCCAAAAAGUAAGAUAUUGUCACAUAAGCUCUUGAGACAGUUAACUCAUUAUCUGCAGUUUCUUCCAUUCCACAAUAGGCUACUUAUUUUUAAUGCUGUAUUACAUUGAGAAUAUACUCAUGUAUAAUUUUUAUA
rnacentral:lncRNA from 1 species